rnacentral:rRNA from 1 species
UGGUGGAGUGAUUUGUCUGCUUAAUUGCGAUAACGAGCGAGACCUUACUCUGCUAAAUAGCCAGGCUAGCUUUGGCUGGUCGCCGGCUUCUUAGAGAGACUAUCAACUCAAGUUGAUGGAAGUUUGAGGCAAUAACA